rnacentral:tRNA from 1 species
UCCCUGAAGGACAAGUGGUUAGGCAACAGCACUCUCACUGAUGCUGUCUGGGUUCGAUUCCUGGCCAGGGAA